rnacentral:rRNA from 1 species
UACGUAGGGUGCGAGCGUUGUCCGGAAUUAUUGGGCGUAAAGGGCUCGUAGGCGGUUUGUCGCGUCGGGAGUGAAAACCAUGGGCUUAACUCAUGGCUUGCUUUCGAUACGGGCAGACUUGAGGUAUGCAGGGGAGAACGGAAUUCCUGGUGUAGCGGUGAAAUGCGCAGAUAUCAGGAGGAACACCGGUGGCGAAGGCGGGUCUCUGGGCCGUAACUGACGCUGAGGAGCGAAAGCGUGGGGGAGCGAACAGG